rnacentral:rRNA from 1 species
CGUAGGGUGCGAGCGUUAAUCGGAAUUACUGGGCGUAAAGCGUGCGCAGGCGGUUAUAUAAGACAGUUGUGAAAUCCCCGGGCUCAACCUGGGAAUUGCAUCUGUGACUGUAUAGCUAGAGUACGGUGGAGGGGGAUGGAAUUCCGCGUGUAGCAGUGAAAUGCGUAGAUAUGCGGAGGAACACCGAUGGCGAAGGCAAUCCCCUGGACCUGUACUGACGCUCAUGCACGAAAGCGUGGGGAGCAAACAGGAUUAGAUACCCUGGUAGUCCACGCCCUAAACGAUGUCAACUGGUUGUUGGGUGCAUUAGUACUCAGUAACGAAGCUAACGCGUGAAGUUGACCGCCUGGGGAGUACGGCCGCAAGGUUG